rnacentral:rRNA from 1 species
CCUACGGGUGGCUGCAGUCGAGAAUCAUUCACAAUGGGGGAAACCCUGAUGGUGCGACGCCGCGUGGGGGAAUGAAGGUCUUCGGAUUGUAAACCCCUUUCAUAUGGGAGCAAAGUAAAAAGCUAGAACCACAAGAGGAGGAGACGCCUAACUCUGGGCCAGCAGCCGCGGUAAUACAGAGGUCCGAAGCGUGUUUCGGAAUCAUUGGGGGUAAGGCGUGCGUAGGCGGUUUAGUAGGUCGUGGGUGAAAGGCGGGGGCUCAACCCGCGGACGGCAGAUGAUACUGGGAGACUAGAGUAAUGUAGGGGGGACCGGAAUUCCAGGUGUAGCAGUGAAAUGCGCAGAUAUCGGGAGGAACACUGGUGGCGAAGGCGGGUUCCUGGACAGUAACUGACGCUGAGGCGCGAAGGCCAGGGGAGCGAAAGGGAUUAGAUACCCUAGUAGUC